ACACGACUACAUUAGAUACCCGGGUAGUCCAGGGUGUAAACGCUGCGGGCUUGGUGUGGGGUCCUUUGAGGGCGCCCAGUGCCGGAGAGAAGUUGUUAAGCCUGCUGCUUGGGGAGUACGUCCGCAAGGAUGAAACUUAAAGGAAUUGGCGGGGGAGCACCGCAACGGGAGGAGCGUGCGGUUCAAUUGGAUUCAACGCCGGACAACUCACCAGGAGCGACGGUUACAUGAAGGCCAGGCUGAUGACCUUGCCUGAUUUUCCG
rnacentral:rRNA from 1 species